rnacentral:misc_RNA from 1 species
GAUCUCCAGAAGGAUCCUCCUACGUCUUGCAGUGCAGGCCCAGUAGCUGAAGACAUGUUCCAUUGGCAAGCAACAAUUAUGGGCCCUCCUGACAGUCCUUAUGCAGGAGGAGUGUUUCUUGUCAACAUUCACUUCCCUCCAGAUUAUCCGUUUAAACCACCCAAGGUUGCAUUCAGAACAAAAGUCUUUCAUCCCAAUAUCAACAGCAACGGUAGCAUAUGCCUCGACAUACUUAAGGAACAGUGGAGUCCUGCACUAACCAUUUCCAAGGUGUUACUUUCGAUCUGCUCACUGCUAACGGACCCGAAUCCUGAUGAUCCUUUGGUGCCA